rnacentral:rRNA from 1 species
UACAGAGGGGGCAAGCGUUGUCCGGAAUUAUUGGGCGUAAAGAGCUCGUAGGCGGUUUGUCGCGUCUGCUGUGAAAGACCGGGGCUCAACUCCGGUUCUGCAGUGGGUACGGGCAGACUAGAGUGAUGUAGGGGAGACUGGAAUUCCUGGUGUAGCGGUGAAAUGCGCAGAUAUCAGGAGGAACACCGAUGGCGAAGGCAGGUCUCUGGGCAUUAACUGACGCUGAGGAGCGAAAGCAUGGGGAGCGAACAGG